UGCCAGCCGCCGCGGUAACACGGGGGGCGCAAGCGUUAUUCGGAAUUAUUGGGCGUAAAGGGCGCGCAGGCGGUUUGAUAAGUGGGAUGUGAAAGCCCCGGGCUCAACCUGGGAACUGCAUUCCAAACUGUCAAGCUAGAGUAUGGUAGAGGGAGGUAGAAUUUCCUGUGUAGCGGUGAAAUGCGUAGAUAUAGGAAGGAAUACCGGUGGCGAAGGCGGCCUCCUGGACCAAUACUGACACUGAGGUGCGAAAGCGUGGGGAGCGAACGGGAUUAGAUA
rnacentral:rRNA from 1 species